rnacentral:sRNA from 1 species
GAGACACCCAUGUCGUCUCCAUUGCACAACUGCAUUUUACCGGUAGCUAAAAAUCUAAGUGUUAAUAAAAUUUUCUGCAGUGGAGAAAGUGCACAGUUUCUGCGUGAACCACUCAUAAGUUCGUUACCAAUCAACCCCUCUAGAAAACGGAUACCGGCUGAAUCAAAUCUGUACCUCUCAACAAGUUCAGCAUCACUGUACUCUACCAAACAGUCUUUUCUUUUGCGAAAACAUCUUCUGUGUGCUCCGAUGGCAGCCAUUUUGAUUUUGAACUUAAGUUUUUCUUAGAACUUUAAGACACCUCAAGAGGACUCUUAGAUUUAAGUAUUGCUUAAGAUUUUUCUUAGGCAUAAGUUGUUUUAUGAAUAAAACUUAAGUU